CUGAGAUUUACUGUUCAUUUAAUUCCGCCUCACUGAAUAACAUUAAAAUUCUAAUCCAUGUUUUUCUCACGGCCAAAAAAUAAACUUGUGCCCCCUCCAGUGUACAAACAGCAAAAUUGCAAUGUUAUAAAGGUCAAAUAUAUGACAUCCAGUCAAAUUAUCCUGUCAAAACACAUUUUGUUGGACUGCAAAAGGUAUGAGGAGGAAAGAACUGAGCUAGAGAUGCAGAUUGGAAAACAAAACAUGACACUAGAGAACUUGCUGGGGAAAACAUCUGGGAAAAUGCACCGCCCCCUAAUAAACUAUUUAAAAAAUGCUGGGAUAAGUGAGAGACUUUAGUAAUCUAGUAGGAAUAUCUACUAUACAGCUAUUUGUCUCUUUAUUUUCUUUUAUUUAUGUAUUAUUGUGUUGGUAUUAUUAUUAUUAAUUUGUUUCUUUUAUUUUUUAUUUUAUUAUAUUUUCCUUAUUUAUUAUUUGGUUGUUUUUCUUUUCUUGCCCAUCUACUGCCUACACUCCAGUCCAGUAGGUGGCGGUAAUGCACCUUUAGUGGUUUGCCAACCGCCAUUAAAACAUGAAGAAGAAGAAGAAGAAGAAGAAAUUAUCCUGUCUUUCGCGGUCAAAACUGCAUCCACUCACAAUCAUGCGUCAGUGCGCAUCUUACCGCAUGUCAUUUAUCACCAGCACAUGGCUAUAUGAUGAAGUUAAGUAAUAGCUCGUAACCUUAAAAUGGAGAAGUACAAAGAUUUCGGCCCGCAACCACAGCAAGCACCGCUGAUCCCCAGUCCUCAGACAGCAGUGGCCCAGGUCCCUCUAACACCGCAUCCGUAGCAAGUGUACUCAUUGCUACUAGCCCAGGUCACACUGAUGCAGACAGCGAUGUAUGAGUUGAAACGCCAUCUCUUCUUCACAAGCAGUUCGCAGAAAAAACAUCAAAGAUGCGCAGAUAUGAUGAGAAAUAUAUUUCUUUGGGCUUUACAUACGCUGACAGUGAAGAAAAUCCCCAGCCACAGUGUGUAUAUGUGCAAACGUACUCUUUCAUAACUGCAUGAAACCAGCAUUUCUGCGCAGACAUUUAGAAACAAAGCAUGCCAUUUACUUUUUGCUAAAUAAACCUCGAGAGCUUUUUGAAAGACAUUUAAGACAACUCAGAAGUAGUAAGACCCUCAUAACAGUGUAGGAAAACCUAAAUAGGAAGGUCUGGAAGCAUCCUACAUGGUGAGCUACAGAGUGGCUGAGACAGGAAAACCCCAUACUAUUGUGGAGGACUUCAUUCUUCCUGCUGCAGCUGAUAUAGCUGGUUUAAUGCUUGGCGAAAAGCCCCCAAAACAAAAAAACAAUAGAGAGGAUGCCAUUUGGUAAGGUGAAAUUGAUUAAAUUUAUAUUUCUCAAUUUAUUUAAUCAUUCCUCUCUUUCCCUUGUAAACAUUACACAAUCAUACAUGUUCAACAGUCUUCACCACAUGUCAAGCAUAAUCAUGUUUGAUGUUUCCCUAUUUUCAGCAACGAAUGAUUUAAUCCAGAAUGUCCUAUUCGGAGCCGAGUGAUAAUUGUAUUUUCUCUCCUAUUUUUUGAGACCUAUUCUCCCUUUCCCAACCUGUUUUUGGCUAUUGAAUAGGUGCCUUCCCUUUUUUCCUUUGUCCCACAUUUCACAUUCACAAGUUCUCUCAUUCUUCCUUCUACUGCUUCUUUACCUAGUGGUAUAUGGUAUAUAUGGUAUAACUUUAACAUCCACAUGAUCCAUUGUCCACUAUUUCAUUUCCUCAUACUCCCACAUGUGCUGCUACACAAAGAAAUCUCAGAACCAUCCCUAGUUUCUGAAUUCUAAGCAGAUGUGUAAGUAUCUCAUAUACUAAAUCUUGUCUUGAAUCAGACUUCCCAUUUAAUAAGCUAUUUAAAGGUGAUUGAGAGUCUGGACAAAUAGCAGCAAAAUCACUAUAAACUCUGUUGUAAAAACUGAUACAUAAUUAGUUGUCCAUUUUUUUAAUGCUGCCUUUGAACCUCUUAAUAUAUACCACCGCAGCUGUUUUUUCUAAUGUAGGAUCUUUUGAACCAUUGGUGAAUAUGUGGGGCAUUGAAGAGUAUUCCUGAUCUAAAUACUGCUGUACAAUAACCUCCUUAGGUAUAUAUGUUUCAUUCUUAACUUUAUAUUAUAGAUGGAAAUUGACUUGAGCCAUGGGGAACAACCAGGGAGGUUUAUUUAGUACUACAAUUGUUGGAUUAACUGAAGUUUCUGUAACUCCCAAAUUCAUAGACUCUUUAUUCGCUGUCCAACCAAAACUUCUUAUAUUAUUAUUCCCACACUUCCAGCACUCUUGUAGUAUUUCCUUAACUGGGUGUGUCUCAGAAUGUCCUUUCAUAUUAAUCCAAUAAUUCAUUGUUAAUUUUAACUUGCGUAUACACAUGGGCAUUUCUCCCACCUCCAUUUGCGCUGCUGUUAUUGGAGAGGAUACAAAAGCACCACAACAUAUUCUUAACAAUUGUGCCUGUACUGUUUCAAUUUUCCUCAUCAAGGCUAAUGAUGCAGACCCAUAUAUUAUAUAUCCAUAAUUCAGUAGUGACCUGAUCAAUGCACAAUAUAUUUGUUAUGAAGAUUUUUGACUAGCUCCCCAUUCCAUUCCUGCUAGACAUCUUAAUAAAUUAUUAAUUUUUUUGUUUAUUUAUAUAUAUUAUGACUGGUUAAUUGCUGUCUGGAAAGCAUGAAUCACAGAUCGAGCUUUUGCUGAUGUAAAUGGUGCCAUGGAACAGUUAAAACGUAGUCAUAAUAAUCACUAAGGCCUUGUAUAUAUUUCCAGGUUGCCAAGGGCAAACUGCUUUAUGUUUGUGUUCAUGUAUGUUUCAGUGACAGCAGAUGGCAGUGAAGAGAAGCAGCGUUAUUAGAUUAGACAUUCCCAAACUAGAUGUGUUUGUGGACAGUGGGGAUCUGUUCUCUGAUAUGCUGGGACACGUGAUAGGACUGACGGAAAGUCCCAGCUUUAUUUAUACUCAACAUCAUUCUGGGUUGUUCCCCUCAUACCAGUCAACGCUUUUAAUAAGAAGAAUUUGAACCUGUUUCACUAAAUUUUAAUGUUUAUGUGCGUCAGAACCUUUUUUUCAGCACAGAUAAUAAAAAACUGCACAACUUAAACACAGAGAGUAGUGUAUACAGGUAAGUGACACUCAGUGCCCCUGCUUUUUUUUUUUUAAGUUAUCAUUUGCUAGAAAAGAAACUCUCUAGAUUUUACCGGGCUGAUUGCUCAGAUUUAUUACUUCCUACACUGUCAGUCAAAUGUUUACCUUUUUUGGUUAAACUUAAAGAAAUGAGUUAAAUACCAUAGAAUUACAGACACAUACACUCACCAUCCAGUUUAUUAGAAAGAUCUGUACACAGGAGUCAUUCGUGCAGUUAUCCAGUCAGCCAAUCAUGUGGCAGCAGCACAAUGUAUAAAAUCACGCAGAUACAGGUCAAAAGCUUCAGUUCUCUGUAAACUUUAGAGAGACUGUUGUGUGUGAAAAUCCCAGGAGAUCAGGAGUUUCUGAAAUAUUCAAAUCAGCCCCUCUGGCAGCAACAACCAUGCCACAUUUAAGGUCACAGGGAUGCCCCCCCAAUUCUGAUGCUUGACAUUAACAUUAACUGAAGCUCUUGAUCUGUAUCUGCAUUAUUUUUUGCAUUGAACUGUUGCCACAUGAUUGGCUGAUUGGUUAACUGCAUGAAUGAGCAGAUGUACCUAUUAAAGUGGAUGACAUGUUUUGUGUUACACUUGACAAUAUGUCUAAUAUCAACUGUAAGAUCAGUGUAGACUUAGAGUAACAUCUCCAUGGCACCAGUACUUUACUUAUGGAUCUGUGAAAGAUGAAGACAGAAGCCACAUUGAGAGAGAUAAAGGAGUGGCUGGCACACCCGUGUCACACACUUCAAAGCCGGGCAAGGAGGAGCAGGAACCGGCUGAACAUAAACGUAAAGUUCAAUAAUAAAAAAAUCUCAAACAUAAUGUAAAACACACAAACGUAGGCCAAACACAAAGCACACAUGUGUCUCUCUCCCACUGGUGCUUCAAGCCGCUCCUUUAUCUCUCUCUCCUCACACCCUGGCUUCUCCCUUCUCCCCGUCACAUGAACAUUGGGACCUGAAAAUGCUGCAGAGUAUUAAAAUAUCAUAAUAAAUGAAUACAUGAACCUUUGUACAACUAUUAACUGUCCAAUUCACAAUAUAGCAGAAAAAUGAUCAAUAAACUAACUUUUUUUUUUUUAGCAAAUACAUGUCUAUAAAUGUCUAUCCUUCAUUUGUGUUUAUUUGCUGAUCUGCCAGAUUUGUUGUGUACAGCAAAUAAAGAUGAUUACAAGAUAAGAUAAUUCUACUGUAUUUCUCAAGAACAUUGUUAUUCCAUUGUUAUUGCGAGGUUACCGAUUCACAUGAAGCUCAUUUUACUUAUAAGGAUGGAAAUUAGCUAAUUAGUUCAAUCAGCUAUGUUAGGAGCAUGUAAAACACUAAAAUGCACAGGACAGAGGGUACUCCAUGACCAGGUCUGGGAAUCUGUGCCAUAGAGUGUGUUUUUUUUGUUUGUUUGUUUGUUUUUUAAAUGUAAAUGUUCAAUACACAUGUAUGCAAAAAAAAAAAGAAAAGUUUAUACAUACACCUUAAACAGUUCAAUAACAACUCACCAUAUACUACAUGUCUGAACACUGAUUAUUAAUUAUUAACCUCAAGUUAUUUUUAUGUCUUAUCCCCAGGUGUAGGAUGUAAACUAUUUAAACAUAGCAUAUCUAAUUAUUCCCCUUUCAUACAAUAUGGCCAGAUGUUUGUGGACACCUGACUAUCACAGCCAUAUGUGGUUCUUCCCAAAACUGUUGCCAGAAAGUUGGAAGCACACAAUUGUAUAGAAUGUCUCUGGAUGCUAUAGCAUUACGAUUUCCCUUCACUGGAAAUAAGAGGCCCAAACCUGCUCCAGCAUGACAAUGCCACAGCAAAUGGGGACUAAAACUGGAAAGGAAUGUUCAAGAAGCACAUAUGGUGUGAUGGUCAGGUGUCCACACUUUUGAUGUAGUGUAUUUAAAUAUAGUAUAUAUAAUUAUUCCCCCUUUCAUAUAUUCAGAACUGCUGAAGAUUACUUUACAAACUAGUCUUCGCAGCAGGUCUCUGCGGAUGUCACACGCCUUUGGCCUUGCCUUAUCACAGAACUGCCAGUCCAUAUUUAUCAGUCUGAUACAGUACACACCAAAUACCAGAGAAUCCAAUGGCUGAUACAGCACCCACCAAAUUCUAAUUUUCAUAUAAUUUGACUGCUAAACAAAGCAGACGAUUUGGCAUCAGUAAACCAGAACAGAAUUUGCAUUUGUUUUGCAUACUUUUGGCAAAGGCAUUCUUUCAAGGCGUGUUCCCAUGCUUUGAAAGAUCAAGUGUGAUAUUAUUGUGGAGACACGAAAUAAAUUUGAGCUCUUAUAUGGAAAAUAAACUCAAAUAAUAUCAAUCACCAUAUAUCAACAAUACAGUAUAUAAUACAGUGGCAAUAUGGUAAGUUAACAAACUCUGUGACAUCUUAAAGAUGUUUUUCACAAAAGCAGAAGUCAUUAAUAUGCUGGUUUUGAGAGGCUUUUCUCACUUGUGCACACACUGCACAAAAGAGCUGCAACAACUAAUCAAUAAAAUCGAUAAUAAUCGAUUAUGAAAAUCAUCAAUGAAUCUCAUUAUCAAUUAGUUGGUCUGCGCACGGCACAGGGGAGAUUUACUCAUUAUGUUACUUCCAUCCAUCCUCUAUACCACUUUAUCCUUUUCAGGGUCACAGGGAACCUAUCCCAGUGAGCAUUGGACACAAGGCCGGGUAUACCCUGGACUGGGCAGGGUACAGUCCCAUACACACUCACACACCCAUUUAUACACUUUGGACAUGCCAAUCAGCCUACAAUGCAUGUCUUGACUGGGGGAGGAAACCGGAGUACCCGGAGGAAACCCCCGCAUCACGGGGAGGACAUGCAAACUCCGCACACACAGGGACAAUCGAGUUGCAAGACCUUCAGUGAAAUAACCAAGUAAUUCGAUUAAGCCAGAGGUUCUCAACCUUUUGCAACUAAAGCCCCCUCAAAACCUUCCCUAUCAUGUGGCACAAAAAAAGUCGCUAAAGGGGUCUGAAAAGUCGCUACGUUGCCAACAGUGGUCUGCACUCACAGCUAGAUAAAAGGCAGGCUAAGCUCCACCUCUCCCCAGCAAUAAAAAAUACAGAGGGAGAGAGAACGCAGAGUUUUUCCAUUUCUGCACAUUCUAUUUGAAAAGCAGUAAAAUACACAGAGUACCCAAAUGAUGCCCUGUCUGUGAAUUCUAAAAACAUUUGCGCCCCCCUUCUGGUCUCGGCGCUCCCCACUGGUUGAGAACCACUGUAUUAAGCUAUUUAGGAUAAUGGUUAAGUUUGUUUAAGUGUCUGUAUAAUCUCCAUAUACCAUACAGGUGGAGUAUACAAAAUAUUUAGAAAACAAAUACAUCUCGUACUAUAAUGUCCACAUGCAGCUAGAACUAAGCUUUCUGAUUACAUAGUAACUCUGGAUGGCCUUUCUGUUUCAUCAUGUGCAGUAGUAAAAGACCUUGGUGUGAUUAUUGACUCCAGUCUUUCAUUUAAAGCUCAUGUAGAUAAUAUUACUAGGAUGGCCUUCUUUCAUCAUAGAAAUAUUGCUAAAUAAGAAAUAUAAUGUUUCUAAGGCACUACACAAGGCAGAAAAAUUAGUUCACGUUUUUGUUACCUCUAGUUUGGAUUAUUGCAAUGUCUUACUGUCUGGAUAUUCCAAUAGGAGCAUAAACAAACUCCAAUUAGUCCAGAAUACAGCUGCAAGAGUCUUUACUAGAACCAGAAGAUAUGACCACAUCACCCCUAUCUUAUCCACACUACAUUGGUUACCACGCAAACUUCGUACUGAUUAUGGUCAAUAUUAUACUGAAUGGUCUCACUCCACAGUACCUGAUCAAACUUUUGGUACUUUAUGAUUCACCAAGUCUACUCGAUCAAAAGGUGCAGGUCAUUUGUUGGUACCUUGAAUAGUGAAGGAUACAGCAGGGGGUAGAGCUUUCUCUUACAAAUCCACACAGUUAUGGAACAGUCUUCCAAUUAGUGUUUGGGAAUCAGACACAGUCUCAUUUUUAAGUCAAGAUUAGGUCAAGGCUUUUGUAAAUAUUUUUUUCUUAGUUAAAAGAGCAGUUCUGGAGGGUUCAUGGACCAAUUGUUGUGGUGAAUUGGGAUGUUUGGAUGCUGUCGCCCCCACUCUUAAGUGUUCACUCAUACUUUAUGUCGCAGGGCACCCUCAUGUCUGUGUUGCCUUCUGGCUCUCCCUUUUAGUUAUGCUGUCAUAGCUAGUCUUGUUGGAGUCCCUGCUUGCACUCUGCACACAAAGUACAUUGUCCUUAACCAUUACAAGACAAUAAUCCUAACAAAAAUACCUAAUAAUCUCCCAUCUCUCUCCCUUCCUCUCUCACUCUCUUUCUGUUGGGCUACACAUGCUACUCCUGAGAUAUCAGUGAUUCUGCUCUACGGACCUGCCUGAUCCAUCCUGAUGCCCUACUUCUAGCUGGAGUUCUUAAUCAAAUGGACAUCACUUGCUGCUGCUGAGGAUGGCCCCACAUGGUGCAGCCUAAACAUAAUUUAGAUUACUGAGUAUGGUACCACUUAAACAACCAUGAAAAUGGCUCUGGGCCACAAUUCAUAUAAACGGUUAUGCUAUGAUGGCUUAGGACUACAAUGGCUAUGAUAGCUUUAGGACUGCAAUUGCCACAAACAGUUUUGCACUCCAAGUCUAUCAGUGAACAGUGGAUUUCAAGAACACAUACUUAGUGUAAAAAUCAUGUUAGUGAAGUUCAACAAAACAGACUUCAUGUAAAA
ensembl:lncRNA